rnacentral:rRNA from 1 species
AGAAUCUUCCGCAAUGGGCGCAAGCCUGACGGAGCGACGCCGCGUGGAGGACGAAGGCCUUCGGGUUGUAAACUCCUGUCACGGGUUAUGAAGUGCGUGGUAUGAACAGUGCCACGUUUGACGUAAGCCCGAGAGGAAGCACUGGCUCACUCUGUGCCAGCAGCCGCGGUAAUACCGAGAGUGCAAACGUUGUUCGGAAUUACUGGGCUUAAAGCGCACGUAGGCGGCGCCGCAAGUGUGGGGUGAAAUCCCACGGCUUACCCGUGGAACUGCCUGGCAGACUGCGGUGCUAGAGGAUGGUAGGGGAGAGCGGAACUCCUGGUGGAGCGGUGAAAUGCGUAGAUAUCAGGAGGAACACCGGUGGCGAAGGCGGCUCUCUGGUCCAUAACUGACGCUGAGGUGCGAAAGCUAGGGGAGCAAAC